rnacentral:pre_miRNA from 1 species
ACAUUACUCCCUCCGUUCGGAAUUACUUGUCUCAGAAAUGGAUGUAUCUAGAACUAAAAUACGUCUAGAUACAUCCAUUUUUGCGACAAGUAAUUCCGAACGGAGGGAGUACGUC